UCAAUAUUAUCAAAACAACAAUCAAGAUAUUACAUUAUUUGUCUGCAUUGUUGUUUUCUAUUUUGAAAAAUAUCGACUUUGAAUUAAAAAACCGAAUUUAAUAAUUAAAUUUAAAUAAGUAAACUCAUAAUGAUUCCACCAAGCGACCCGAAGAUAAAACUCUGUACAGGUAUAUGUGACAUAUUUACAGUACAAAAGUUUUCUUAUAUCCAUCUGCUCUAAGAGGUCACAGGAGCACUCACACCGGAGAGAGGCCAUUUUCGUGUAAUUUUUUGCAACGGCACAUUCAUAUCAAAAGGUAACUUAAACAGACACAUGAGAAAAAUUCAUCCGGGAGAGAAAACUCCAUCUUGCUUCGAGGAAAGUACACAAGACGGUCAACGAGAGCAGAAAGAAUUGCUUGAACAACCAUCAACAAGUUUUCAAAGACCACAGUCAAUAGAAUUUGAAGAAAUUUCUUUAGAAGAGAAUCUUUUUACUUCAAAAAAAGUGAAAAAUUUUUUGAAAAUGUUAACGUCGAUUUAGAAAUUAUUCAAUUGGAAUUAUUGUCGCAACUGGAAUUCUUCCCAGAAAUAGACGUUGAACAAACUAAAUUGGAAUGUCCGUUCUGUGGUAAACAAUUUUUAGACGAAGUUUCACUAAAAGAACACGAAAGAAACUCUCAUCCAUCUGAUUAAUUAAUUCUGGACAACUAAUUUUCAAAAUAUAUUAAAUUAAUAAGAUAUCAAAUUAUUAAUAUUUCGAUAUUUAAUAACGAAAGCAAAAUUGAAUAUUCAGUGCAACUACUUCAUUUACAGUUGGCAUUAAAUGUGAAAUUAUCAGAAAAAAAAACGAAUUUAAUUUACAGCGAAAAUUAUUUAAUAUAAAGUUCAUAAAAUUUGAAGGAAACAAAAUUUCGAAAGUUACUCUUGCUUAUUUAUAGCUUCACGAAAACUAGAAGACUUGAACAUGGA